rnacentral:misc_RNA from 1 species
UUAAGUUCAGCGGGUAGUCCCGCCUGAUUUGAGGUCAAGAUCGUGUGUGUUGUCCGAGGACGGUUGGAAGCGAAGCCCAUGUCGAUCGACCCACGGCGUAGAUAAUUAUCACGUCGAGGACCUUUCGGAACUUCGCUAAUGCAUUCAAGGGGAGCGGAUCUUUGCAGACCCGCAGAGCCCCCAAUUCCCAGCCCAGCCGC